UCAUAUUGAAUUGGAUCAAGUGCAGGGGUUUUGACAUCAUCAAAGCCUCAAUGCUUCAUAGGGAAUCCGGUAUAGGAAUCAUUGAUUUCAUAAGCCGGAGCGGUCACGCCACUGUAACAGGGAGUGAUUCCGCACGCCAAUUGAGUUGGCAGUCACUGGAGAGCGAUCUCUGGGAAGAUGCGGAAGAACGAUGAACUGGAGCCAGGAGACCUGCUUGAUUAACAAUCACCGA
rnacentral:ncRNA from 2 species